rnacentral:rRNA from 1 species
GACGAACGCUGGCGGCGUGCUUAACACAUGCAAGUCGAACGGUGAAGCGCCUUCUUUUUUGGUGGGUGUGGAUGAGCGGCGAACGGGCGAGUAACACGUGAGUAACCUGCCUCCUUCUUCUGGAUAACCGCAUGAAAGUGUGGCUAAUACGGGAUAUUCUGGGUCUGUCGCAUGAUGGGUUUGGGAAAGAUAUUGUUUCGGUGGGGGAUGGGCUCGUGGCCUAUUAGCUUGUUGGUGGGGUGAUGGCCUACCAAGGCGGUGACGAGUAGCCGGCCUGAGAGGGUGGACGGCCGCACUGGGGCUGGGACACGGCCGGGCCGCGUACGGGCGGAAGCAGGGGGGAAUAGUGCACAAUGGGCGCAAGGCUGAUGCAGCGACGCCGCGUGGGGGAGGGAGGCCGUCGGGUUGUGAACCUCUUUCGCCGGUGAAGCAGGCCUGCCUCGUUUGUGGGUGGGUUGACGGUAGCUGGAUAAGAAGCGCCGGCUAACUACGUG